rnacentral:rRNA from 1 species
GACGAACGCUGGCGGCGUGCUUAACACAUGCAAGUCGAACGGAAAGGCCCUGCUUUUGUGGGGUGCUCGAGUGGCGAACGGGUGUGUAACACGUGAGUAACCUGCCCUUGACUUUGGGAUAACUUCUGGAAACUGGGGCUAAUACCGGAUAGGAGCUCCUGCUGCAUGGUGGGGGUUGGAAAGUUUCGGCGGUUGGGGAUGGACUCGCGGCUUAUCCGCUUGUUUGUGUGGUAGUGGCUUACCAAGGCUAUGACGGGUAGCCGGCCUGGGAGGGUGACCGGCCACAAUGGGACUGAGAUACGGACCAGAAUCGUACGGGAGGCAGCAGGGGAGAAUAUUGCACAAUGGGCGGAAGUCUGAGGCAGCAACGCCGCGUGCGGGAUGACGGCCUUCGGGUUGAAAACCGCUUUCGCCUGUGACGAGGCGUGAGUGACGGUACUGGGUAAAGAAGCACCGGCUAACUACGUG